rnacentral:lncRNA from 1 species
AUUUCCAUGGAGAUUAUUUGGCCAGGCCACAUGCAAAAAAUGUUUGUAAUUACAAUGAGUUGUAAAACUAACAAACUACUUCAAAAUAUGAAAUCACUGGAUAAAUUACCUGGUUAUUCAGUAUUCACACGGAUACUAGGCCAACUGCUAUAGGUCCGAGUAAUUUGCCAUUACAACAAAGAAAAGUGAAAGAAAGACAUUGUUUAGAAAAAGAAAAAAGAUAUAUUUGAAAAUAUAAUUGAGGAAAAUAUUAUGUUAUAAUAACAUAUGCAAAAUGGCAACUUGUAAAUGAUAUAUAUAAAUACAAGUCUAAAUUAAAAACAACAUUCAAACUAUGACUGCGUUGGAUAAAAGUUUUUAUACGUGUGCAUGUAAAACAAAUUUCGUUGUAGAGGGGCACAAACAACAUUUUCCAAAAAGAC